GACGAACGCUGGCGGCGUGCCUAAUACAUGCAAGUAGAACGCUGAAGGAGGAGCUUGCUUCUCUGGAUGAGUUGCGAACGGGUGAGUAACGCGUAGGUAACCUGCCUGGUAGCGGGGGAUAACUAUUGGAAACGAUAGCUAAUACCGCAUAAGAGUAGAUGUUGCAUGACAUUUGCUUAAAAGGUGCAAUUGCAUCACUACCAGAUGGACCUGCGUUGUAUUAGCUAGUUGGUGGGGUAACGGCUCACCAAGGCGACGAUACAUAGCCGACCUGAGAGGGUGAUCGGCCACACUGGGACUGAGACACGGCCCAGACUCCUACGGGAGGCAGCAGUAGGGAAUCUUCGGCAAUGGACGGAAGUCUGACCGAGCAACGCCGCGUGAGUGAAGAAGGUUUUCGGAUCGUAAAGCUCUGUUGUAAGAGAAGAACGAGUGUGAGAGUGGAAAGUUCACACUGUGACGGUAUCUUACCAGAAAGGGACAGCUAACUACGUG
rnacentral:rRNA from 1 species